GCAACGUCCUCGGACCUCCGAGACGGAUGGAUAUUAAAACGCACCACUAGUACUGAAGGGAAAUUCAAAUUGAGCGGAAGUACUUAGGCGGGCGGAGCCAGGCUAGCAAAGUUGUGCAUUACAAUGCAAACCCGACAAUAAUUGGCACCGUUCUUCUCAGAAGAACAUGAACUGAAUAAAUGCCAGGUAUAUAGCAUAUCGGAGACGGGCACACAAUCAGUGCAUUUGUAAAUGAGAGCCUGCAGUAUGACCGAUCUUGUGACAUUAUUUAACCAUCCAUCUACCGGAAGGGGCGUGACUUCGCCACUCUAUCUGACUGCUGCAGCCCAGUGAAGGCUUCAGCCACCACUCGAUCUCCUCGUCCUCCUCCACGCCUUCCGACGUGCGCCAGAUGCCGUCACCACGGGCACAUCGUCCGGCUUAAAGGCCAUGCAAAGACGUGUCCGUUCACGGCCGACGAGUUGAUGGAAGCCCGUCGAGGGAGCAAGGUGCCUGCUCGGGACAGGCCUGUGGAGGAAACGACGGGAGUGUUGAACUUGAGCACGACGAUCGAAAGAAGAGAGGGGUUUCUGGUCGCGCACCCAACGGCCCUUUACCCCAACUACCUGGCCGACAUGCCGGCCAUGUGGACCAUCCCUCACACCCAUUACCACAGUUUGGCCUUCCCGAUCUGUCCACCAAUGUGUUCUCCACCGCCACCCCUUCUCGACCCAAGGAUCUUCUUCGGGCUGGUUCCUCCUGGGCCCUAUCAACCUUUUCCAAUGCCUACACCCCCUCCCUUCUUCAGACCUCCUUCACCACCAGCUAAUCACUGAUUUUGAGCCAAUCGAAAAUCUAUUGUUUUUGUAAGUUUUCUUUGUUUAAUGUAUCAGUUACAUCUAAGGUUAUCUGUAACGGUUUCAAAUAUAUAAAUAAGUUCCAUAUCAAGUUUUUUAUAAAUGUUUUAAAUGCUUCUGAAAUUAAACUUUUUUUGAAUGUCCGUGUUCGACUUGAGAAUACACAUUUGCAAUACUUUUCUAAUCGUCUAAUUUUUUUCCAC
ensembl:lncRNA